rnacentral:sRNA from 1 species
CCAAGUGGUUGCCACACAUCUAGUACAGUACAUCUGUGGCCAUGGCGGGCUCGUUGACUUGGAAAUGGUUCAAUGCGCGCUGUACGGCACUCUAACCAAAUCCAGCAUGCACAUUCUUUUUUUGCAACAACCGGGAGCUGACCUGGACCGGGGGCACUAUCAAUGCCAUUGGUAGCUUCAUUCAUAAAUCCUGUGGUCCAGUACACAAGACAUUCUCAUUGGGCAAUGCAGGAUUGAAUAUAUGCGUCAUUCAGGCCGCGCAUGAGCUCUUUCGCUUGAUCGAUUGCAAAUCGCUUCCACGCCAAGGAAUGCUGGGUGGCAUUAAAGCACGUCCUACGCUACGUCAAGAAAACGAAGGAUCACAGAAUUCUGUACAUGAAGGAGAUAAUUGAGGGGCUCAGUCCUGUAGCGUACAAGGACUCAGAUUUGGCAGGGGCAGACCCCAAGUCAACUACGGGUCACAUUAUCCUGCUAAAUGGAUCACCAAUCUCGUGGCGAACGGCAGACCUCAGUUGCAAAAUCGACCACUGAAGCGGAGUAUAUCGCGGCAAGUGAGGCAGCGUGCGAAGUAAUCUGGUUGAAUGACAUGUUAUAUGAUGCUGGAUUGGUAGAGGGAAAAGCAAAGGUAUGCUCGUGUGAGAAAUGAUCUAUCAUAUCAAGCAUUGUGAGAAAGAAUCUAUCAUAUCAAGCAUUGUGAGAAGUGAUCUAUCAUAUCAAGCAAGGAUCUUAUUCUAUCUCAAUUUCGGAAACCGGAUCACUGCUCCGAUGUAUACCAGC